AAAAAAAAUCUUUUUAACGUUGGAUGAAGCAAGAAGAAUAAUAUUUAUAGAAAAACUGGUUACUAUAUUUAUGGAAAAAAUCUUUAAAA
rnacentral:sRNA from 1 species